rnacentral:rRNA from 1 species
GACGAACGCUGGCGGCGUGCUUAACACAUGCAAGUCGAACGAAAAUACCAAGCUUGCUUGGUUGAUUAGUGGCGAACGGGUGAGUAACACGUGAGUAACCUGCCCCUUACUUUCCUGGAUAACUGCUCGAAAGGGUAGCUAAUACGGGAUAUUCUGACCAGCCUGCAUGGGUUGGUUUGGAAAGGUUGUUUUUCUGGUAAGGGAUGGGCUCGCGGCCUAUCAGCUUGUUGGUGGGGUGAUGGCCUACCAAGGCUUUGACGGGUAGCCGGCCUGAGAGGGUGGACGGUGGCACUGGGACUGGGAUACGGCCCAGGGUCCUACGACAGGCAGCAGUCGGGUAUGUGGCGCAGCGGGCGGAAGUCUGAUGCAGCGAGGCCGCGUGAGAGAUGGAGGCGUUGGGGGUGUAAUCCUGUUUCGAGAGGUAUCAAGGCACUUCUUUCGUGGUGGUGUUGAGGGUACCUGGAUAAGAAGCGCCGGCUAACUACGUG